rnacentral:rRNA from 1 species
AUUGAACGCUGGCGGCAGGCCUAACACAUGCAAGUCGAGCGGUAACAGAAAGUAGCUUGCUACUUUGCUGACGAGCGGCGGACGGGUGAGUAAUGCCUGGGAAUUUGCCCAUUCGAGGGGGAUAACAGUUGGAAACGACUGCUAAUACCGCAUACGCCCUACGGGGGAAAGGAGGGGACCUUCGGGCCUUCCGCGAAUGGAUAAGCCCAGGUGGGAUUAGCUAGUAGGUGAGGUAAUGGCUCACCUAGGCGACGAUCCCUAGCUGUUCUGAGAGGAUGAUCAGCCACACUGGGACUGAGACACGGCCCAGACUCCUACGGGGAGGCAGCAGUGGGGAAUAUUGCACAAUGGGGGAAACCCUGAUGCAGCCAUGCCGCGUGUGUGAAGAAGGCCUUCGGGUUGUAAAGCACUUUCAGCGAGGAGGAAAGGUUAACGAUUAAUACUCGUUAGCUGUGACGUUACUCGCAGAAGAAGCACCGGCUAACUCCGUGCCAGC